rnacentral:lncRNA from 1 species
AAAAUGUCAAAUGUUUUGCUUUAAAUGUAUAAUGUAAUAUUUUGUAUUAAUUGAGAUUUCUAUUAAUUUAUUUUUGCAAAUUAGAAAUGAUCAACCCGGAAUCAUUAUUGUAUACUUUUCAAAAGUCUGAUAUGUAAAUAAAACUUUGCUUAAAAACAUCUGCUGUUUCACCAUUAUUAUUAUUAAUGUUACUACUAUUACACAACUUCUAUAAAUGUUCCUCACAGAGCUUCAAAAGGUUCCUCAAGUAACCUUAUGAAGGGGUUCUUCUAAGAACCUUUUAUUGAAGGUUCCUCAGAGCACCAUAAGAGGUUACUCCGCAGUUUCAAAUUGAGGAACCUCCAAAGGUUCCUCAAGGAUCUUUUUGUUUUAACAGUAUACAGUACAAUAACUCCGGUAUGCUGACUGAAAUACUAAAAACAAACGUCCCCCUAUUAUCGGUGUAAAUCCUCGAAGCUCAAAAUGUAAAUGCACUGGAAAACAACGCCCCGGGGCAUCCUGCAGGCUGUGUUGUUGAACCUACCCUGCAUGCAGGAACAUUGUUCCAUAGCGCCCAACUCAGCUCGGUUGAACUGGCAACCUUUCUGCUCAAAUGCACACCUGCCGCACCCCCACAGUGAACAAAGACAUGCUUGGGCCCUAUGCAGCAAAAAACUGUGAUUUUUUUCUGUGAAAGCAAGAUAACAUAGUUCUGACCAACUCAACUAAUGAUAAUGAACAAAAUGCAACUUCCAUUUCACAAGGCUCCUCACCGUUCCUAUAUCUUACAAGUAGCCUAAUGAAUGGGAAUCAGCAUUAAUGUGUCUGUGCAAUUGUAACAAUUAAGAAAAACAAUCCAGUGUGUCGAAUACUAAAAAUAGCGAUGAUGAUAAUGGUCUAAAAGUACUAAUAUUAACUACUAAUGCUGCGGUUAUUAUUAAUGAUUAUGAUAUUACUAAUAGUCCUACUAAUAUUGCUACUACUAAUAAUAUAAGUAAUUGCUUACAAGGUCAUAAUAUACGAAUGUUAUAAUGGCAUGCUAAUUAGCC